rnacentral:rRNA from 1 species
UACGUAGGGUGCAAGCGUUGUCCGGAAUUAUUGGGCGUAAAGAGCUCGUAGGCGGUCUGUCGCGUCUGCUGUGAAAACUCAGGGCUUAACCCUGAGCUUGCAGUGGGUACGGGCAGACUAGAGUGCGGUAGGGGAGACUGGAAUUCCUGGUGUAGCGGUGAAAUGCGCAGAUAUCAGGAGGAACACCGGUGGCGAAGGCGGGUCUCUGGGCCGUAACUGACGCUGGAGGAGCGAAAAGCAU